CCUACGGGUGGCAGCAGUGAGGAAUAUUGGUCAAUGGGCGGAAGCCUGAACCAGCCAAGUCGCGUGAGGGAUGAAGGCCCUACGGGUUGUAAACCGCUUUUGUAAGGGGAGAAUAACCUGCACGUGUAGAGGGCUGCAGGUACCAUACGAAUAAGCAUCGGCUAACUCCGUGCCAGCAGCCGCGGUAAUACGGAGGAUGCGAGCGUUAUCCGGAUUUAUUGGGUUUAAAGGGUGCGUAGGCGGGCGGUUAAGUCAGCGGUAAAAUCGCGGGGCUCAACCGCGCCAAGCAGUUGAAACUGGAUGGCUUGAGAACACAAGAGGUAGGCGGAAUACG
rnacentral:rRNA from 1 species